rnacentral:rRNA from 1 species
AGAGUUUGAUCAUGGCUCAGAUUGAACGCUGGCGGUAGGCUUUACACAUGCAAGUCGAGCGGUAACAGAGAUAGCUUGCUAUCUGCUGACGAGCGGCGGACGGGUGAGUAAUGCUUGGGAAUAUGCCUNUGAGUGGGGGACAACAGUUGGAAACNACUGCUAAUACCGCAUAACGUCUACGGACCAAAGGGGGGGAUCUUCGGACCUCUCGCUCAUUGAUUAGCCCAAGUGAGAUUAGCUAGUUGGUAAGGUAAAGGCUUACCAAGGCGACGAUCUCUAGCUGGUUUGAGAGGAUGAUCAGCCACACUGGGACUGAGACACGGCCCAGACUCCUACGGGAGGCAGCAGNGGGGAAUAUUGCACAAUGGGCGAAAGCCUGAUGCANCCAUGCCNCGUGUGUGAAGAAGGCCUUCGGGUUGUAAAGCACUUUCAGUUGNGAGGAAAGGAUAGUAGUUAAUAGCUGCUAGCUGUGACGUUAACAACAGAAGAAGCACCGGCUAACUUCGUGCCAGCAGCCGCGGUAUUACCAAGGGUGCAAGCGUUAAUCUGAAUUACUGGGCGUAAAGCGUUCGUAGGCGGUCUAUUAAGCAAGAUGUGAAAGCCCAGGGCUCAACCUUGGAACUGCUUUUUGAACUGGGAGACUAAAGUACUGUAGAGGGGGGUGGAAUUUCCAGUGUAGCGGUGAAAUGCGUAGAGAUUGGAAGGAACAUCAGUGGCGGAGGCGGCCACCUGGGAAGAUACUGACGCUGAGGAACGAAAGCGUGGGGGGCAAACAGGAUUAUAUACCCUGGUAGUCCACGCCGUAAACGAUGUCAACUAGCCGUUUGUGGACUUGAUCCGUGAGUGGCGCAGCUAACGCACUAAGUUGACCGCCUGGGGAGUACGGCCGCAAGGUUAAAACUCAAAUCAAUUGACGGGGGCCCGCACAAGCGGUGGAGCAUGUGGUUUAAUUCGAUGCAACGCGAAGAACCUUACCAUCCCUUGACAUC